UACGAAGGGGGCUAGCGUUGUUCGGAAUUACUGGGCGUAAAGCGCACGGAGGCGGGUGGUUAAGUCAGGGGUGAAAUCCCGGAGCUCAACUCCGGAACUGCCUUUGAUACUGGCCAUCUAGAGAUCGGAAGAGGUGAGUGGAAUUCCCAGUGUAGAGGUGAAAUUCGUAGAUAUUGGGAAGAACACCAGUGGCGAAGGCGGCUCACGGGUCCGAUAUUGACUAUGAGGUGCGAAAGCGUGGGGAGCAAACAGG
rnacentral:rRNA from 1 species